AAUUCCAUUUGGAGAAAAGCAAGGUUUUACACCUAGGCAGGAAGAACCAAAGGUACAAAUACGGAUUAGGCGAAUCCUGGCUCAAAAAACAGUAACUGUGAGAGGGACUUUGGAGUCCUAGUGGAUGACCACUUGAACAUGAGCCAGUGGUGUGUGGCAGCAGCCAAAAAAGCUAAUACAAUCCUUGGUUGCAUUAAACCAGAGGCAUAAAAUCAAUAUCCUAUAGGAAAUAUUAGUACUGCUUUAUAAAGCCUUAAUAAGACCACACCUGGAAUACUGUGUCCAGUUUUGGUCGUCACAUUACAAAAAAGAUGUUGAGAUUUUGGGAAAAGUGUAAAGA